CCUGUGUGGGUAGUGAAAUGCCACACCGAUAUUUCAGCGACAGUCCUGGGUGCAGAUUUCUGUACUGAGGCUGUCUAUAAAGACUGUGUUGCUUUUAGGCAACGUCCCCACCAAGGACACACACAUGUCUUGUGGGAAAACUGUUGUUCGCAGUCUGGAGAGCCAGAGGGUUGCUCUGACAUGCUGGCACAUCUCCGAUACAGCCAACGUAAAAUCUUUUCCCUCUGGAAAUGUUCAAAACUGGCCUAGAUGAGCAGUAACGUUCUUCAACGUUUCACAUUGACCUUUAAAAGUCCCUUCCAACCCAAACUAUUCUAUGAUUCUAUACAUACUAAAAGAAUCAAUUUUCUGGUACAGUUUUUCUGAUUCUGGCAGAAAGACGUUUUGGAAGGCUAUGCUUUAAUUUGUGAUUCUAUUAUCAUUAUGAGAAGCGUAUUCUGAAACACAAAGGCUUUGUUUCUAAUAAGUAGUUACUUGCCCAAACCAGGCUAGAAAAACCAGCUGUUCUAGUUUACCUGAGCUGUUUACUCUUCUAGCUUUCCUUUGCAAUGUCAGUGAGAAACAGGAUCUUGUUUUUCUAUGUUUGUAUUUUUCAGGUGCCGGGUGAAUUUGUGGAGCUGGUAGGUAGAUAAGUCACCACUGCUCAUCUGCGCAGAGUACAUUUAAAAGUGAUAUUGUACAUAUGCACCGUUCUCACUUUUCUACAGCAAGGAUGGGAAGCUGAUGUAUGGCCUCCCAUCCACAUGUAUUGGAGGAAGGCUCCACAUGUACACUCAGGAGGGUUCCACAGUGUCCAUCGCUGCAACAGGACAUCUGUAAAGAGCAGCUUGCUUGCAAAGUGAUGUAUCUACUCAAACCAGGGAGGACUAUUAAAACAAACAAACAAACCCCAAACAACACAACUGCAGAUUUUCAACCAAUGUAACAAGUCUACAUCUGUAUCCACCGUGGUAGAUGUGAAGAACACAAGGUUGCCUGUAAAACACAGGUCCAUGUCUCUCAGGUGUACUAAAUACCUCUUUUUUAAUAGGAGUUCUCAGAUAUCUAAACACAUUCAAGGCAGUAGUGGUGUCCUUCUGAUCUCCAAAAAGCAAGAGCAAGCUGGUGAGUCUUGAGACCAACACCUUUCAAGGUAUAAGUGAUGGCAGGUUGGCUGGUAGUCCUACGGCUGACUACAGCUCAGAGAUGGCAAAACACAGGCAAAGUCACACUGGGCACAACACUGGAAGACACAGCUGAAGAACGGAUGCAAGCAAUCUCUAAUUUCUGAUCCUGAGAUGACAAUACCUUUACUGUAUAUAAUAAAACUGUUCUGGCUCUGAACACGUGAAAUAGGAUAAAAUGGGCUUAUUUCCUCAUAAUAUGCAAACCUAUUAACAUAUCCAAAGCAUGACUGUAGAGAAUGGCAAAACCCUGCUGUAUGUAUACUAUCUGGUAUAAACUCGCUUUUUAUCUUUUGUAUAGUUGAGCAAAUCUCCCUACAUUUUUUUUCAGGGGGAAAAUGCUGUGCAACAUCUAAACCAACAUGUUAAAAGCAGACUCACAGGGUUAUAUCCACACCUGAUUCUUCAAGCCUUGUCCUUGAUGCACUGUGAUGUUGAGCUAAACAUGCGUUUUCUCCAGCCCGAUUUCUGCUGCUACUUCCAGAUCUUUUUCUCAUGUCAGAUGAUGCCUUAAGGUCAUGUUAUCUUCCCCACGGGUUGGGUCUAGAGUUUGAGUCAGGAAUGCAAAUUGAGGUUUUAAUCAGUAGCAAUUAAAGUAAAAGAAAGGAAGAGCAGCUGCUGGAGUUGAAAUAACUUACUUAACAUCAGCCUCAUCACUUUGCAUAGCUUGUGUGUGAUUUACCCUGUGACUGUGCUCAUUAGGCCAUGAACCAUCCCCCAAGGGGGCUGUGAAGUGAUACUGUUGGGAUUUUUGGUCCUGAGCCUUAAGGACAGGAAAAGGCAAGCUGGAGCCUAAGGGCUAAACAUGGUAAGAAGCAAAUGGGCAGCCUGAGGUACAAUCCAUCAGCUUUACUGAGUUGCCUUUUGAGGAUGUGCUGCCAGGCUGAGCAGUGGCAAGGGAACGGGCUGGCAUUUUUGUAUCAUGGCUCAUGAUGGUGUCACUUCAUCUCACCUCUGGUUUUGUACGGACCCAGCAAGGAGGGUUGAACCUUUCUUAAUAUGUAACAUGUUCCUACUCAAAAGAUGCUCUCCCUCUUCCCCCUCUACAAAAUGCCAUGUAACCUAAACCCUAUGUCUGUGCACAAUAUAAUGCAAUAUUUUAUGUAGUUUAAUUCUAUCUAGCAAGGAAGAGAGGAGAAAAAGCUUUAAUAUUUAGAAGCAAUGACAGCAGGAAAAAGGUAGGAGGAUGAAAUGGGGAAAGGAAUGACUAAUUCUCAUGCAAUGAAUUAAUGUCUAUAUUCUGUGGUAUCUACUACAAUAUUAUCCAUACUAAGGAAGAGU